rnacentral:rRNA from 1 species
GUGGGGAAUUUUGGACAAUGGGCGCAAGCCUGAUCCAGCAAUGCCGCGUGUGUGAAGAAGGCCUUCGGGUUGUAAAGCUCUUUCGGCGGGGAAGAAAUGGCACGCUCUAACAUAGCGUGUUGAUGACGGUACCCGCAUAAGAAGCACCGGCUAACUACGUGCCAGCAGCCGCGGUAAUACGUAGGGUGCGAGCGUUAAUCGGAAUUACUGGGCGUAAAGCGUGCGCAGGCGGUUUCGUAAGACAGAGGUGAAAUCCCCGGGCUCAACCUGGGAAUGGCCUUUGUGACUGCGAGGCUAGAGUGUGACAGAGGGGGGUAGAAUUCCACGUGUAGCAGUGAAAUGCGUAGAGAUGUGGAGGAAUACCGAUGGCGAAGGCAGCCCCCUGGGUUACUACUGACGCUCAUGCACGAAAGCGUGGGGAGCAAACAGGAUUAGAAACCCUAGUAGUCC